rnacentral:lncRNA from 12 species
UGUCUUGCAGAUGCUCUUAAGCCACAGAGAAAAUUAUUUAAUAGGGAAUUUAUAUUCCAUAAAGGAUUCUGCAGCUGAGAGACUGGAUUGCAUGACUGACCAUUGAUGGAGGUAAAAUCCAGCACGCCAAACCACAUCUGUGUGAGAUCAUCUGCUGGUCCCUGGAGAACAAGUGCAUUGCACUCAAUGCCCCAUCCCUGUUGGCUGGGGUGUUCCAUCCGAUGGACUCGAUCACCAACUAAUGUCCGAAAGAUAUAUCCAAAACCCAUCUGUGAGCUACACACGAUCAUCACUUCCCACCCUUGAGGAACAGAAUCAAGGGCCCCAGGACUGAGCUUGGUUAACUCCUCCUGUUCCUUCAAACACAUAAAAAGCAACUCUAACCUCUAAUCAGGACAGAACCUCCUGUGAAGCCUCAAA